rnacentral:rRNA from 1 species
AACGAACGCUGGCGGCAUGCCUAACACAUGCAAGUCGAACGAGACCUUCGGGUCUAGUGGCGCACGGGUGCGUAACGCGUGGGAACCUGCCCUUAGGUUCGGAAUAACUCCCCGAAAGGGGUGCUAAUACCGGAUAAUGUCUUCGGACCAAAGAUUUAUCGCCUUUGGAUGGGCCCGCGUUGGAUUAGCUUGUUGGUAGGGUAAAAGCCUACCAAGGGGACGAUCCAUAGCUGGUCUGAGAGGAUGAUCAGCCACACUGGGACUGAGACACGGCCCAGACUCCUACGGGAGGCAGCAGUGGGGAAUAUUGGACGAUGGGCGAAAGCCUGAUCCAGCAAUGCCGCGUGAGUGAUGAAGGCCUUAGGGUUGUAAAGCUCUUUUACCCGGGAUGAUAAUGACAGUACCGGGAGAAUAAGCUCCGGCUAACUCCGUG